rnacentral:lncRNA from 1 species
GAAGGCAGCCAGCAUGUUUACCCACUGGGCUUGGAGCCAGACUUCUUUCCCUGGUUCUUCCUCUCUCUGUUUCUCAAUCUCCCCUGCUCUAAGAUGGCCAGAUAUGAAAAGCUGCCAAUCGGGAUGCCAGAACAUCAAAGAGAUCGCUCAUGAGAGCACACAAAGUCCCAUUUGUUCAGCACUUGGACGGAGAUGCCAGCAGCUUCCAGGCAGAGGGAGAAUCGAAGCUAAGCAUAUUUUCCUCAAAUAUAACCUGGUCUGCAGAGGUGCAGCUCUGACUUCAACAUCACCAUUAAUAACUUCAUCACCAAGCAAUUUUACCUUCUUGGAGCUGAAAUGUCAAGCAUCACCACUUGUGUGGAGGGACUUUGUAGAGCUAAAAAGCCUACUGGAGUUGUUUCAGAACAACAAAAAAACCACCCCCCAACAAUUGUUGAAGAGUAUUUCAUUUGUGUAAUAAAAGAGCUGAAAAAAAUAUUCCAAUUGAGCAUUCUCUGGACACCCACAGUCCCUUGGCCCUGAAGAAACAGUUGACCUUACUCUGGGAUGGGGCAUUAACAAAAGACAAAAAUUAAGUCCUGAGAAUCAGAACUAAGAGUCAGAAAUACGC